CAGUCGCCGCGGGAAUACAGAGGGUGCGAGCGUUAAUCGGAUUUACUGGGCGUAAAGCGUGCGUAGGCGGCUUUUUAAGUCGGAUGUGAAAUCCCUGAGCUUAACUUAGGAAUUGCAUUCGAUACUUGGAAGCUAGAGUAUGGGAGAGGAUGGUAGAAUUCCAGGUGUAGCGGUGAAAUGCGUAGAGAUCUGGAGGAAUACCGAUGGCGAAGGCAGCCAUCUGGCCUAAUACUGACGCUGAGGUACGAAAGCAUGGGGAGCAAACAGGAUUAGAUACCCCGGUAGUCCCUGUCUCUUAUAC
rnacentral:rRNA from 1 species